GCACGGAGGUAGAGCGACUGAUUGGAUGCGAGGGUUUCACCGCCUAUCAAGUCCAGACAAACUCCGAAUGCCCGGCAUUAAAGGUAAGGAGUGAGGGCGCGGGUGCUAAGGACCGCGCCCGAGAGGAGAAGAAUCCAGACCGUCGUCCAAGGCCCCGAAGUGACCGCUAAGUUAGUCUAACGGAGUCCGGUCGCCGUGACAGCUAGGAUGUUGGCUCGGAAGCAGCCAUUCAUUUAAAGAGUGCGUAACAGCUCACUAGUCGAGGAAUCUGGCGUGGAUAAUAAUCGGGCAUAAGCAUCCUGCCGAAGCUCCGGAAUCU
rnacentral:rRNA from 1 species